GUCUGGAUGGUGCAGUGUUCAGCACAUCUGCGUUGUAAGCAGGAGAUCUGGGUUCGAUUCCCAGUCUGGCACA